rnacentral:misc_RNA from 1 species
UUUUUUUUUUGGGUGGAGUUGAAUGAAGAGAAGAAAUUGAGGGCUUUAACAAUAGUAGAGGAGAAAAAGAAGCAGAAACAGAAAAAGAUGAAGUUCAUUUACAUGGUGUUGGUAAGAAUCAUUACUAGUCUUUGUGGGAGUGACUUAUAGAGUAGAAUUUGGUGGUUACUAUUGUAAUUUCUUUUCCUUUUCUUCUUCUUCCUUUUUGUAUUCCCCCCCUUGCAUGCAAAUGGUUUAUUAAAGUAAUUUUACUUGAGUGUUGUGUCACAGAAUUCCUGAGUUUUUGCCUUAGAUAAUAAGAAGAAAGGAG